rnacentral:rRNA from 1 species
GAUGAACGCUGGCGGCGUGCCUAAUACAUGCAAGUCGAGCGAACAGACGAGGAGCUUGCUCCUCUGACGUUAGCGGCGGACGGGUGAGUAACACGUGGAUAACCUACCUAUAAGACUGGGAUAACUUCGGGAAACCGGAGCUAAUACCGGAUAAUAUAUUGAACCGCAUGGUUCAAUAGUGAAAGACGGUUUUGCUGUCACUUAUAGAUGGAUCCGCGCCGCAUUAGCUAGUUGGUAAGGUAACGGCUUACCAAGGCGACGAUGCGUAGCCGACCUGAGAGGGUGAUCGGCCACACGGGAACUGAGACACGGUCCAGACUCCUACGGGAGGCAGCAGUAGGGAAUCUUCCGCAAUGGGCGAAAGCCUGGCGGAGCAACGCCGCGUGAGUGAUGAAGGUCUUCGGAUCGUAAAACUCUGUUAUUAGGGAAGAACAAAUGUGUAAGUAACUAUGCACGUCUUGACGGUACCUAAUCAGAAAGCCACGGCUAACUACGUG